rnacentral:rRNA from 1 species
AGAGUUUGAUCAUGGCUUAGGAUGAACGCUAGCUACAGGCUUAACACAUGCAAGUCGAGGGGCAGCAUUUUAGUUUGCUUGCAAACUAAAGAUGGCGACCGGCGCACGGGUGAGUAACACGUAUCCAACCUGCCGAUAACUCGGGGAUAGCCUUUCGAAAGAAAGAUUAGUAUCCGAUGGUAUAUUAAAACCGCAUGGUCUUACUAUUAAAGAAUUUCGGUUAUCGAUGGGGAGUGCGUUCCAUUAGUUGUUUUUUUUUUGGCGGGGUAAC